ACGGGAGGCAGCAGUGGGGGAUAUUGGUCAAUGGGGGCAACCCUGAACCAGCGACGCCGCGUGAGUGAAGAAGUAUUUCGGUAUGUAAAGCUCUAUCAGCAGGGAAGAAGAAAUCAAAAUUGACAGUACCUGACUAAGAAGCCCCGGCUAACUACGUGCCAGCAGCCGCGGUAAUACGUAGGGAGCAAGCGUUAUCCGGAAUUACUGGGUGUAAAGGGAGUGUAGGCGGGACUGUAAGUCAGAUGUGAGAUAUGCCGGCUCAACUGGCAGACUGCAUUUGAAACUGCGGUUCUUGAGUGAAGUAGAGGUAAGCGGAAUUCCUAGUGUAGCGGUGAAAUGCGUAGAUAUUAGGAGGAACAUCAGUGGCGAAGGCGGCUUACUGGGCUUUAACUGACGCUGAGGCUCGAAAGCGUGGGGAGCAAACAGGAUUAGAUACCCUGGUA
rnacentral:rRNA from 1 species